CAAUAGCGUAUAUUAAAGUUGUUGCGGUUAAAAAGACUCGUAGUUGGAUUUCUGCCGAGGACGACCGGUCCGCCCUCUGGGUGAGUAUCUGGUUCGGCCUGGGCAUCUUCUUGGAGAACGUAUCUGCACUUGACUGUGUGGUGCGGUAUCCAGGACUUUUACUUUGAGGAAAUUAGAGUGUUCAAAGCAGGCCUAUGCUCUGAAUAGGUUAGCAUGGAAUAAUAGAAUAGGACUUUGGUUCUAUUUUGUUGGUUUCUAGGACCGAAGUAAUGAUUAAUAGGGACAGUUGGGGGCAUUUUUAUUCCAUUGUCAGAGGUGAAAUUCUUGGAUUUAACGGAAGAAAACUACUGCGAAAGCAUCUGCCAAGGAUGUUUUCAUUGAUCAAGAACGAAAGUUAGGGGAUCGAAGACGAUUAGAUACCAU
rnacentral:rRNA from 1 species